GACGAACGCUGGCGGCGUGCUUAACACGUGCAAGUCGAACGAAGAGCGAUGGAAGCUUGCUUCUAUCAAUCUUAGUGGCGAACGGGUGAGUAACGCGUAAUCAACCUGCCCUUCAGAGGGGGACAACAGUUGGAAACGACUGCUAAUACCGCAUACGAUCUAAUCUCGGCAUCGAGGAUAGAUGAAAGGUGGCCUCUACAUGUAAGCUAUCACUGAAGGAGGGGAUUGCGUCUGAUUAGCUAGUUGGAGGGGUAACGGCCCACCAAGGCGAUGAUCAGUAGCCGGUCUGAGAGGAUGAACGGCCACAUUGGGACUGAGACACGGCCCAGACUCCUACGGGAGGCAGCAGUGGGGAAUCUUCCGCAAUGGACGAAAGUCUGACGGAGCAACGCCGCGUGAGUGAUGACGGCCUUCGGGUUGUAAAGCUCUGUUAAUCGGGACGAAAGGCCUUCUUGCGAAUAGUGAGAAGGA
rnacentral:rRNA from 1 species